ensembl:lncRNA
CUACUCUGGAUCCACAGUCACACCGUGUGUGUCAGUGUGGCAAACAAGUAGUUGUGAGGUGUCUGGACUGCCUUCCUCUUCCAUUCCUUUGUGCUGAGUGUGAUAUUGCAGUUCACACACGCUUUGUCCUGCACAACCGAGAGGCAGUAACAGGAGGGUUUUUGCAGCCUUCAUCAGAGUUUCACAAGCCAAUAGUUCGGCUGUUGCCUGUGCAAAGCCCAGACCGUGUGUGACUGCCCAGCAGGUAACGUUGAGGUUUCACCCGGCGCAGUUGUGGCUCUUGUAACCAUAAAUGGCUGUUAUAACCUUGCACUGCCAGUGGUGAGCUGCACCAGCUGUGACUUAAUGUGGUCCCCCUCAGUUAAGGACAUCCUGGGUAGUGGAUAUUGGCCUGGCACCUUAAAUUUCUGCACCCUGUUUUCAAUGGAUGUCUUUCAGUCUUUCUAUGACAUUAAGAAGGCUGCACCAGGGAUGUCACUUAAGGCAUUUGUCAAAAUGCUGGAUGAAAGAACAGCCCAUUUUGGAAGGACUGGCCGAAUAUCAGCUGAUGCCUUCUGUAAAAGCUUUGUGGAGUGGAGUGCUGUUUGAGGUGGACAGGAUGUGCAAGGAGCCAUGCGUUAGCUGCCCUGCCUGCACUCUAGACGUGCUUGCCGUCUCAGUUGAUGGAAACCGUAAGCUUUAUCGCAUUCAAUCAAAUACAAGCACUUCAGAGCAGGCGAACUUUGAAGGUGUCUUCAUUGAAAAAGAUGAGGAAGUUGCUGAGUUUAUGAAAUACAUCCAGAGACACACAAAUGAUGUGGCUCAGCUGAGGAACCUCUUGUCAAUGCGUCCUUUUCUCUCCGUCAUGCAUGCAAAGGCUCUCAUUUGGAAAUGCGAGAUCAAAUGGGGAGGUGCGUUUCAGAAUGGGGCCGGUUCUACAGUUGGAGAAGAGGUGGAACAAGUAAACAGUUUCCUGUCUAGGGCGGCCAUCACAACGAAGUACAUGUCUAAAGCAGGGCGAACAGACAUGCUGACCCUCCUGGCUUUGGGGUGGACCAAAAGGAAAGUGGAACAACUGGGCCGCAGUUUGAGCCAGAGAUAUCUCAAGAUCAUAAGGAUCCUUAGAGAACAACUGGAGAGCCUGAAUGCGACCAAAAAUGAGCUGGGUGUGGAUGACGACACACUGCAGCAAUGGGCUGAAGGUGAGUCUCAAUAUAACGCACUCGUGUAUAACAAUAGGACCCACCAUGGUGUUAGAGUGAAUUGUUAAAUGUUUGUCAUUUUUAUUCUUACCAUUUGUACUUUAACUGUAUGUUGAAAGGAAUUCUUUUGUUCUCCCCUCCCCAGAUUCUCGAGGUUCUGAGUGGGGGGCUGUAGUGUUUUAUCACAGGCAACAUCCUUGUGAAGGUCUGUUUGAUGUGGUAAAACUUCCUGCCCUUUGUAUGGCUUCACUGUGUUAUCUAGGUGAACCAUAGAUUGGGUGUGGGGAGGUUACCCUCUUUAUGACCUAGGAUGUUGUUCCUGCUGUGUGACCCUUUUGGUCAGCAAUACACACACACACACACACACACACACACACACACACACACACACACACUUGCAAAACCACAGGCAAGGUACUCUUUGUGUGUAUGUAUACAUCAUAUGUUAAUGACCCUAUGCAUAUUCAAGUAACCUCAAUAAAAGGAGUGCUAUGGGGAACCUGGCUGAGAGUCUGAUGGAGGUCAAGUAGGUGGAACGACACUUGGCUCCAGGCAGGCCUCCCUCAUGCAUGAGUAACCCAAAGAACUUUGCCUACUUCGUGUCUUGCUUGCUGUGUUAUUACAUUGCCUUUAACGUUCCAGCGAAUAGGUUUAAGCACAAGAACCUAUCAUUAAUUGGUCCUUCUUGAGCCGGAUCCCUGGAGUCGGCAUUCACCGAGGAGAGAACCCUGACGUCAGCGAGACGUGAGAAUUUGUCAUCGGGCCGGUGGAUUAGCUGUCCGUUUUCUCUCCCCGACGAAUGACGAUCGGCGGGAUCUGAGGCUGAUAUUACACGCUAAGCAACGCCGAGUAAGUUGGAAGAGUUGACUGGGUUAGUGUCCCAGAACUGGGUUAGGGUCCCGAGAGAGAGGUUUUGGUAAAAUCGCCCAAGGGCCCAAGCGUUCGGUGAGUGUCCGGUUUUGAAAUCGCCCUGGGUUUGUGUCCCGAGCGUCCCUUCACUGGGUUUUGAGUCGCGCGACUGGGUUAGGGUCCCAGAAGAGUGUUGCUGUGUUUGUGUUAAUGACUGCGGAGCAGGCAUGGUCUGUGACACGGUUGUUGUUAUCAUGGGUUCCCGAGCAAGUAAGACUGCCUCACAGGGAGAUGACACAUUCAUGCAAGAAUUUACUCCCGGCAGCGCGAGCCAUUUAUAUUCUCAUAAUUGUUAUGAGCGUAAACUGGUCGCGGAUGAGAUUCAAAUGUUAGAAGUUUU